UUUAGAGUGCAGUAAACAAUAUAUUAUCCAUCAAAAAGCUUGAUUGUUCAUCUUCUCAUAACCACUUUUCCCACUAACAUCUACAUAAGAAAUAUUUUUCUACAAAAAAUCUAGAUUAACAGUAAGCCAUUGUUGUUUUCAAUUUUGUGACUCAUCCCAAGAUGUUCUUGAUAUUCCUGAAAAAAUAGAUGAAGAAAAAAUCAUCAAAAGAUUAAAAAAAAAUAGAAGAAAGAAGAAAAUAAAAGUAAACACAACAAAUAUGGGUUAGAAAGAGAAAAGAG
rnacentral:lncRNA from 1 species